UAAUACGGGGGGAGCAAGCGUUGUCCGGAAUUACUGGGCAUAAAGGGCGUGUAGGCGGUAAGGUCAGUCAGAUGUGAAAUUCCCUUGCUUAACAAGGGGCCUGCAUUUGAAACUGCCUUACUUGAGUUCGAGAGAGGGUAGUGGAAUUCCCAGUGUAGCGGUGAAAUGCGUAGAUAUUGGGAAGAACACCAGUAGCGAAGGCGGCUACCUGGCUCGCAACUGACGCUAAUGCGCGAAAGCGUGGGGAGCAAACAGGAUUAGAUACCCUGGUAGUCCACGCUGUAAACGAUGGGCACUAGGUGUUGGCUUCGUAUUCGAGGUCGGUGCCGCAGCAAAUGCAUUAAGUGCCCCGCCUGGGGAGUACGAUCGCAAGGUUG
rnacentral:rRNA from 1 species